rnacentral:rRNA from 1 species
GACGAACGCUGGCGGCGUGCUUAACACAUGCAAGUCGAACGGUAAGGCCCUUCGGGGUACACGAGUGGCGAACGGGUGGGUAACACGUGGGUGAUCUGCCCUGCACUUCGGGAUAAGCCUGGGAAACUGGGUCUAAUACCGGAUAGGACUCCGGACUGCAUGGUCUGGGGUGGAAAGCUUUUGCGGUGUGGGAUGGGCCCGCGGCCUAUCAGCUCGGUGGUGGGGUGAUGGCUUACCAAGGCGACGACGGGUAGCCGGCCUGAGAGGGUGACCGGCCACACUGGGGCUGAGAUACGGCCCAGACUCCUACGGGAGGCAGCAGUGGGGAGUAUUGCACAAUGGGCGCAAGCCUGAUGCAGCGACGCCGCGUGAGGGAUGACGGCCUUCGGGUUGUAAACCUCUUUCAGCAUCGACGAAGCGAAAGUGACGGUAGGUGCAGAAGAAGGACCGGCCAACUACGUGCCAGCAGCCGCGGUAA